UACGAAGGGGGGCUAGCGUUGCUCGGAAUUACUGGGCGUAAAGGGAGCGUAGGCGGGUCGUCAAGUUGGGGGUGAAAGCCCAGGGCUCAACCCUGGAACUGCCUUCAAAACUGGCGACCUAGAGUAUGGUAGAGGUGUGUGGAACUCCGAGUGUAGAGGUGAAAUUCGUAGAUAUUCGGAAGAACACCAGUGGCGAAGGCGACACACUGGGCCAUUACUGACGCUGAGGCUCGAAAGCGUGGGGAGCAAACAGG
rnacentral:rRNA from 1 species